GGAUUGCAGCCUGCCAGGCUCCUCUGUUCAUGGGAUUCUUCAGGCAAGAACACUGGAGUAGGUAGCUAUUCCCUUCUCUAGGGGAUCUUCCCAACCCGGGGAUCAAACCCAGGUCUUCUUUACUGUCUGAACCACCUGGGAAGCCCUAAAUCCAGAGACCUCAGGACUUAGCCUGUUAACCUUACCAGGUGGUCAAGUGCCUCAGUAAGCGGGUUUGUUCAGACAGGCGAGAAUACUCAAAGAUGCAAAUAAUGGUAGAGGCUUUUCUCUUGGUACCCAGAGUCAGCUAGGCAGAGAGUGAAGCCAAGUGGAAUGGACAGGCCGGCAGCCCCAUGCACAGCCUUCUCCCUCCCCCCAUCCUAUUUCUUGGCUAUCAUCUGCUCUCUUAGGGGUACCCAGAUUCCCACCCUUCCACUCUGGCCUGGCACCAAUGUGUUCUUUUCACAUAUUUGCUUUUGCAUAUUUGAAAGGAACAAGCGGUCAAUCUUCUGACUUUCCUCUAAUUCCCACUUUGUGCAUGCCAAGUCACUUCAGUUAUGUCAGACUCUUUGCAACCCUACGGACCGCAGCCCACCAGGCUCCUCUGUUCAUGGGGUUCCCCAGGCAAGAAUACUGGAGUGGGUUGCCAUACCCUCCUCCAGGGGAUCUUCCAGACCCAGGGAUUGAAUCUGCGUUUCUUAUGUCUUCUGCAUUGGCAGGCGGGUUCUUUACCCCUAGUGCCACCUGGAAGUCCCAAUUCUCACUUUAUAGCCUAUUUAAGCAAAUACAUUUGUGUCCCAUCUAAGUCACAACCCAUGGGCGCUGUGGGGGACAUAGCAUUUGAUCAGCCUCUAUUCAGUGCUCCCUGUACUUCCAUUCUGGUGUCUCUUUGACCAUAAAGUCCUGGAAGGGUGCACUUAUCACCGCUUCUCUGCCGAUGAGAAGCAGAAUUUCAUGGGAAGUUCGGGCAGCAUCCUCUAGGUGGUCCAGGGUGGUGAUGUGAACCUGCUCGGUCAGGGAAGACUUUAGCUCACAACUUUUAGCAUGAAGAAUCUUGGCUUUUGGCCCUCAUUUUAGACCCUUCACCCACUGAGAUGAGAUGGUUCAGUUAGGCUUUCUUGGCAGCAUUUCCUCUCCCAGCUUAUACGUUUCCCCACUUCCCUGGGUACACCCUGGUCCUUGUUCAAGAACUGUUAGGCUGUAUCCUGUUUCAAUAAGAUAAGUUACCUUAUUAUCUCCCAUCCAAAUUCCCCAUGGCCAGCUGCUCAAGACUCUGGGAUUAUGCAAACAAUGCUGACUUCUGUUCUCAGUUGCUGAUCUUUUUUUUUUUUUUAAAGAAACUUUUUUUUUUCCAUGAAAACAAGAGGCAGUUUUCACAGGUGGAGUGCUGCGGCCUUUCUCUUCUAAGAUCUGCAUCUGCCAGAGUCUGACAAUGCUGUCUGGGGAGCUCGGGGGCCGGUGCCAUUCCAAAUGGCUUCACGAAGCUUUCACUUGAGGAGGGGGACCGGCACUGGCCAGCACACUGCAACCAGUGUGAAAACCCAUGCAGCUGGCUCUUUAUAACAGCCCCGAACUGGAAGCAACCCAAAUGUCCAUCAGCUGUAGAAUGGAGAAAUCAAUGGUGGUGCAUUCACACAAUGGAAUACCCUCCGGCACAAAGAGAGCCAGCCGCCUCUCAGCUCUCAAUACAUGGAUGAGCCUCACAGACAUGCCGUGUGUGGAAGAAGGCAGGCACACAAGAGAACACGCCGCAGGAUCCCAUUUACAAGAAGCACAAAUGCAGGCAUGUGGGAUCCCAUCUCCCCAACCAGGGAUCGAACUGGCACCCCCUGCAUUGGAAGAUUAAGUGUUAACCACUGGACGGACAGGGAAGUCCCUUUGUAGUGAGAUGUUAACCCCUCAGAACGUGUCCCUGACAAAAACGUCACAUUCACCAUAAAAAGCCCGUGGCCUUGGCCUCUGCCAGGCUCUCCUGUCAAUCAUGGGCUGCCUUUCAGAAGUAAGGACUUGAUGAGGUGGCCACUGAAUUGUUCAUCAGAACUUCCUGAUGAAGAAAGAAGGAAGAUCAUGAGCUCAGAUGCCCCGGGGCCUCAGCCAGUCUUCCAGAGCCAGGACCAACCUGGAAACCUGAUUAUCAGCAUCAGGCCCAGAGGGGAGGAGAUGUGGGAAGGAAGGGUGGGGAAAGUCAAUACCUGGGCCUUCUGGAGGGCCUCACUUGCUGAUAGAAUCAUCUACACCCUUUUUCUAGAUUGCACAAGCACCAGAGGAUUGAUGCUUUCCAACUGCGGUGCUGGAGAAGACUCGAGAGUCCCUUGGACUGCAAGGAAAUCAAACCAGUCAAUCCUAAAGGACAUCAGUCCUGAAUAUUCAUUGGAAGGAAGCUCCAACACUUUGGCCACCUGAUGCAAAGAACUGACUCAUUGGAAAACACCCUGAUGCUGGGAAAGAUUGAGGGCAGGAGGAGAAGGGGACAAUAGAGGCUGAGAUGGUUGGAUGGCAUCACCGAUGCAGUGGACAUGAGUUUGAGCAAGCUCCAAAGGAUAGUGGAAGACAGGGGAGCCUGGCAUGCUGCAGUCCACGGGGUCACAAAAAGUCAGACACGACUUAGCAAUUGAACAACAAUACAAUGUUUGAUUUUCUCUUUCUGACUUACUUCACUCUGUAUGACAGUCUCUAGGUGCACCCAAGUCUCAGCAAAUGGCACAAUUUCACUCCUUUAUUUGAAAUCAAGUUGGUUUUUUUUUUUUUUUUUUAAGGGAGAAAAACAGUGAAAGCAUUGAAAAACUAAGUCACUUGUCCUGAAAACCCAGAAGGAUGAUGGGGCUGCUUGAGGGGCCUGGUUUACCAGACACACCAACCGCAGAGGCAGGAGGGAUGGGAGCUGGACAGCUUCCCUGACAACGCAGGCUCUGGAGCCACGCUCAUCUUUAAUGCACGGCUGUGCUGUGUGCUCCUGACAUCUCAAGCGGGGAUGCGGGAGUCUGGGAUGCUCUCCCAGCCACUCUUGGCUCCCUGUGAGCAAUACCCUUCACAUCUCAUUAGACCUGCCUGCGUCCAUCUGGACCCUGUCAAUCUUGAUCCCGAGCAGGUGGGAGGGAGUAGGUGAGUGGAGGGAGGUGUAUGAGGCUCUGGAAAGAAGCAGGGCUGCCUGAGCCCCAAGACCAAAGUGGGUAAGAGUUUGGGCUUAAAUGAAAUGAAAUUGGAUCUGAGCUCCUCUACUAACUGUGUCAUUUUUGGCAAGUUAUUCAACCUCUCUGUAUCCCAGUUUCCUUAUUCAUAAAAUAGGGGCCACUAAAACUUACUGCACAAUUGGCUUUUAGGGGACUUGCCUAGGGGUCCAGUGGUUAAGACUCGCUUUCACUACAGGGGCGCAGGUUCAAACCCUGGUGGGGGGAACUAUGAUCCCUCAUGACAUCCAGCUUAAAAAAAAAAGAGGAAACUCAUUAAGAUGUAUGUGUUACAUGUGUGCAAUUUUGUGUAUCAACUAUAUCUGAAUAAAGCUUAUAAAAGAUUGGCUGUGAGGAUGAAACGAGCACGAGACAUGCAAGCCAGUACCUGGUACCCAGUGAGGCGUCAGCAAAUGAUAACUUAAAAAAUAUCCCCAGGGCUUCCCUGGUGGCUCAGUGGUAAAGAAUCCGCAUGCCAGUGCAGGAGACAAGGGCUUGAUCCCUGAUCCGGGAAGAUCCCAUAUGCUAUGUGGCAACUAAGCCCCUGUGUCACAACUACUGAGCCUGUGCCUAGAGCCUGGGAGCUCCAACUAUUGAGCCCAAGAGCCGCCACUACUGAAGCCGGAGCGCUCUAGAGCCUGUGCUCCGCAGGAGAGGCCACGAUAACCAGAAGCCAGAGCACUGCAACUAGAGAGCAGCCCGGUCACUGCAAUUAGAGAAAAACCCUCACAGCAAGGAAGAUCCAGCAC
ensembl:lncRNA